GAUGCUCCGCAAUCAUGCUGCAAUGCUUUGAGCUGCUGUCAUCUUAGCCGUUCUUUCACUAGAGACUCCCAGCCCCAGAGCAAAGUCAGAGUGAGGAAAUGCGGCCCCACAUCUCAGCUGCUUCUGGGCAAACUCCGAGGUAUGUGCUGAAACCAAGGCCAUGGUGGUUUGCAGGCUGUCUAUGCACRGGGAAGCAAGGAUGGAUGCUGCAGCCCCUUCAGCUGUCCCACUUCCCUUGCCACAAGUAAAUCAGAGCCCUUCAACCUCCAGGUGAUGACCUCGAGCUCCUGAGGGCAGAGGGUAGGUCCCUGUCCCGCUCUGCCGUCCCAGGAGCAGGGGCAGUAACCUGCAGCAGCGAGGCAGAGUGGACAGACGCUCAAAUAAACCCCAAUUCUGCAAGCACUUAACCAGCAAGCAUCGCAAACAGCAGUGAGGCCAUGCAGGAUCACGAGCAUAUGAGCGCCAGGUGACAGCAAGAUUUUGUUAUAGGCUGCUCUAGGCAUCCAGCACACCAGAGCCCUGACCCCUGACUGGACUUUCUGGGGAUGACUAUAAAAUGAACAGCGCAGAGCGCUCGGGACCCAGGCUUUCAAAUGGCAGGACUCCCCUUCGACGCGUACACUUCUGCGCAAGCAACAGUUUCGCUUGUGCAUGGGCAGGCAAGCAGGGGAGACAGGAAAGGCACUGGCUAAAAACAGUGCAGACUGAGGUCUGGCAGGGAAGGAGACCAGCGCAGACGGAUGGACAAAGACUCUGGACAGACCAAGCUUCCUGCAGGACUGAGUGGGUGGUGAUGGCCUUGUCCACGGAGAAGGAAUCUGAACUGCAGAGACUACUCAUAGUAAUGGUUUGA
rnacentral:lncRNA from 1 species